rnacentral:rRNA from 1 species
AGUGAACGCUGGCGGUAGGCCUAACACAUGCAAGUCGAACGGCAGCACAGUAAGAGCUUGCUCUUACGGGUGGCGAGUGGCGGACGGGUGAGGAAUACAUCGGAAUCUACUUUUUCGUGGGGGAUAACGUAGGGAAACUUACGCUAAUACCGCAUACGACCUACGGGUGAAAGCAGGGGAUCUUCGGACCUUGCGCGAUUGAAUGAGCCGAUGUCGGAUUAGCUAGUGGGCGGGGUAAAGGCCCACCAAGGCGACGAUCCGUAGCUGGUCGGAGAGGAGGAUCAGCCACAGUGGAACGGAGACACGGCCAGACUCCUACGGGAGGCAGCAGUGGGGAAUAUUGGACAAUGGGCGCAAGCCUGAUCCAGCCAUACCGCGUGGGUGAAGAAGGCCUUCGGGUUGUAAAGCCCUUUUGUUGGGAAAGAAAAGCAGCAGGUUAAUACCCCGCUGUUCUGACGGUACCCAAAGAAUAAGCACCGGCUAACUUCGUG